UACGAAGGGGGCUAGCGUUGCUCGGAAUCACUGGGCGUAAAGCGCACGUAGGCGGGUCCUUAAGUCAGGGGUGAAAUCCCAGGGCUCAACCCUGGAACUGCCUUUGAUACUGACGAUCUGGAGAUCGGGAGAGGUUGGUGGAAUUCCUGGUGUAGCGGUGGAAUGCGCAGAUAUCAGGAGGAACACCAAUAGCGAAGGCAGCUCGCUGGGACGGUAUUGACGCUGAGGCGCGAAAGCGUGGGGAGCAAACAGG
rnacentral:rRNA from 1 species